AUGAACUUCGAGCAGCCUUGCUUUGAUAUCAACAUAAUCUCAGUCUUGUGUCCUUACCACUACCAUGAUAAUUCAUGCUUCAUACGACCCCAAAGAUUUUGCACACUUGCACCUUUGCCAUACCAAGAUAUAACCUGCAUAACAUUAAACCAGAAGAUACCAAGCAGAAGAGAUAAAUUAGAAAACAAAAUAGAGCCAAGACAAAUGAGAAUCUUGAGAAGUAAUUUCUUUCUUGGCAAAUAA